CCGAAGUAGACGUCAUGCGUGGAUUUCGGGCACCGGCGCUCAUUCGGUGUGGAGUUGCUCUCGGACGGAGGAGAGCGAAAAUAGUGGCUCGUGGAACGUGGAGGAGAUUACGCUCGUUUGGACGAUCGGCACUUAAUCCAGGGACCCAAUAAGGCAUCUGGGGAGGGGGGGGGCGGCUAACACAGAGCACUUGGAUGGCGUGAAGGCCCUCACAGAUGUCACCGAGUGUUACGCUGAGGAUGAAAACUUCCCAGGGGUCUUUUCCAAGUGCUAUCAUGGAGAUAAUGCACUACGUUAAAAAUCUGCAACAUAGCGGGGGGACACUAAUGCAAUAAAGCAUCUUAGUUUGUAUUCCUGUUUUAAGCGUGCGUGAGUCAUAACCCGCUGCUCCUCUGUGGUCGGAGCCACAUCCUGUUCAGCGCCGCCAUCCGUCCCGCUUGCCUCGGAGAACAUUCAACGCUGUCGGUGAGUUUGGUAUGGAUUGCAUAGAAACCAUCGACCGUUGACUGUGCCCCGAGGUUUGCCCCGACAACGUCAGCAAAGAGCAAAGAAUGCCCAUCGGUCGUGACGAGCAAGCGAGUGGGCGCAUGCAAAUCCUGAGACACGAACACACACACACACACGAUUCACACUGUGGUUCCGACCCAAAAGGUCACAAUCAACAUUCAUUGCUGUCGCUGGGUUGGACUGUGUAGAAAAGCUCACUGAACAAUGAGUGCAACUGUGGCCCAGAUCUGCCUUGACUCCAGUCUCGGCCAAUCAGCCUAACCGGAUGUGAAAGGCUGUGAUUUCUUGAUUUAUUUCCUUCUUGUUUUUCACUUCUAUAUUCUUCAACCGAGAGACUCGGGAUGCGGCAGAGAUAGCGACACAAAUAGACUUCUGGCUGCUCACUUGUCCUCAUCCACCUCUCCUCUAAUUGCCGGUUGUGUGUGCAGCAAGGGGGAAGGAAACGGAGUGAAUGUGUAAUCAUUUGGAGCCUCUUCUCCUUCAGAUGUCGCAUCCCUCUCUUUUUUGUUCGCCUAAUUAUACAGUGCGCUCACUCAACUCCAUGCUAACUGCCCGUCUUACGUUGGCAGUAAUGGACCAGAGGAACAAAUAAACGUUAGAAUUAGUCGAGUUUGUAAGAUGGGCUUUUCCGGCGUAGCUUUUAACAAGGUUGUUUUGGAUCUGCCGUUUCAGGAAUGUGCUUAACUUCCGUGACAUCCUCAAACUUUCUCAAACUCGUUAUGCUCAUUAACUUAACAUGAUCUCACUAAUAGUUUAUGUCAAAUGCAGUCAAUCUUCUUUUAAACAAGCCAUUCCAUGUAUUGUCCCUGUUUUGAAAUAAAGUCACAUCUACAACA